rnacentral:rRNA from 1 species
CCUACGGGAGGCAGCAGUGGGGGAUAUUGCACAAUGGGGGGAACCCUGAUGCAGCGACGCCGCGUGGGUGAAGAAGCGCCUCGGCGCGUAAAGCCCUGUCAGCAGGGAAGAAAAUGACGGUACCUGAAGAAGAAGCCCCGGCUAACUACGUGCCAGCAGCCGCGGUAAUACGUAGGGGGCAAGCGUUAUCCGGAUUUAUUGGGUGUAACGGGGGCGCAGACGGCGAUGCAAGCCAGGAGUGAAAGCCCGGGGCCCAACCCCGGGACUGCUCUUGGAACUGCGUGGCUGGAGUGCAGGAGGGGCAGGCGGAAUUCCUGGUGUAGCGGUGAAAUGCGUAGAUAUCAGGAGGAACACCGGUGGCGAAGGCGGCCUGCUGGACUGCAACUGACGUUGAGGCCCGAAAGCGUGGGGAGCAAACAGGAUUAGAUACCCCAGUAGUC